rnacentral:misc_RNA from 1 species
AGAAAAACAAAAUAACAUCAUUAUGACAAGUAAAUAUUGGGAAAUUCUUGCCUAGACCUGAUCUAUCAUGAACCCAAGACAUAAACACGUAGGACCCAUGUAUUUAAUAAGUAGAUCUCACCAUACAUCUUGUGUCUUGAGUCCAUUGUGGACCAAAUCUAAGCAACAAAAAUCUUAUAACCAGAAAGAAGUGGAAUUUUAAUGCUAAAAUAAU